GGGCAGGAAAAACAUGAGAAACUCUUUUGAGAAGCUGCACAAGCUGACAUGGAGGAUCAAGGAUUUCAAAAGCUUUGAAUAUAAAGAGGUGUCAGACUUACAUCAGAGCCUGAGACUUGACAUGCCUAUUUUUGCACUCGCUCAUUUUUCAAAUUUCAUAGGCAUUGCUCCCUCCAAAUCACCGCUCUUCUAAUUUUAUCCUGGAGUGUGCAUCCCAGAAGACAUAAGCUGACACAAUUGGGAACUGAAGUUGCUUGAAAAAGCUGGUGGUAAGAUUAGACUCUAGACAGCUUAUACGUAUUUGGACAAGGCAACGUGAUGAAGAAAUAAUAUAAUUGUAGGAUCACCUCUGUCCAGUAGCUGUUAUCCAACAUCUGCAUACUUAGAUUUCUGGAGAGACAAAUUCUCCUGUUUCCCAGGCUGGAGUGCAGUGGUGCGAUCUGGGCUCACUUCAUCCUAUGCCUCCCAGGCUCAAGCGAUCCUCCUGCCUCCACCACUGGAAUAACUGGGACUACAAACUCACACCACCAUGCCUAGUUAAUUUCUGUAUCUUUUUGAGUAGAGAUAGUGUUUUGCCAUGUUAUCCAGGGUGGCCUCCAACCCGGGAGCUCAAGCCAUCCACCCUCUUCGGCCUCCCAAAGUGCUGGGAUUGCAAGCAUGAGCCACUGCACUGGCUAAUUCUUUAUUUUAAUGUUCAUGUUUUCAUUAGGCAAUUUCAGUACACCCAAGUGUAUUUUGAGAAGUGAUUCACUUUUAAUCUCUCCUAGUUUCUUUCAAUUAUGGCCGCAAAAUUCAUUAACGUUGUAUGACUGAUUUAAGGAAAUGCUGUUGCAUUAGUGAGUAUCUACUUUUAUAAACCUAAAAUAGUUUCUUACCUCAUGUCUCCUUACAAUCAUCUGAUUAUAGACAGUAUCAAUUCUAUGAACUUGCAUACUUCCAAAAAGAAAA
rnacentral:lncRNA from 1 species